rnacentral:lncRNA from 1 species
AUGAAGUUUGCUUAAGAAUGCACUAAAUACUAUGCUAUAGAAAGAAAAAUGGAACUUGUAACAAGAUGAUCCUAACAACACUAAUAGAAUCCAAAACAAAUUUUAAUUAAAUUAUAAAAAUGUUAAUCAAUAUUUAAUUAAAUCCAAAAACAAUCUCAAGAACUUAUAAAAAAAACAUAAAGAAAUCAUAAAUUAAUCUAAAUCAAAUAUAUAUAAUAUAAAAAAAUAUUUUAAAAAUAUUAAAGAAAUAUUAAAGAAAUAUUAAAAAAAUCUUUUAAAAUAUCAAAAAUAGAAAUCUUAAUUGAAUCAUAAUCAAAUUUUAAUAUAACUUUCAAUGAAUUCUAAUGAAAUCCCAAACCAAUCUUAAUCAAAUCUUAAAUCAAAUCCUAAUCAAACUCUAAUCAAAUCCUAAAUCUUAAUCUAAUCCUAAUCAAAUCCUAAUCUAAUCCAAACUCUAGAUCAAAUUGUAAUAAAAUCCUAAAUCCUAAUCAAA